rnacentral:lncRNA from 10 species
CGAGGUCUUUAAAAGCAGAGCGUUUACUCUAGUUGGUUGCAGUCAGAGAGACACGCUUAGGUGGCUCAGAGGAAAGCCGGUAUCCAUGUUCUCGAUGGUGCAUGUAGGCCACAUGGAAAGAAACUGAAGGAGACGUCUAGAAGAAUAGAGUGGUCCCUGGCCAACAGCUAAAAAAAAAAAAAAAAACAAAACACUAAAACGGCAAAUAAGUUGGGACCUCAGCCCUACAACCACAAAGAAAGAAAUUCUGCCAAAACACACAGAGGACCUCCAGCCUUCGAUGAGAACCAUAACCCUAUCAAAAACCUUGAUUUCAGCUAGUGAGACCCUGAGUAGGAACUCCGGCCAAGCUGCACCCUGGAUUCUAACCUACAGAAAGUUUAAGAUAUGGCUUCCUGUGAGCUGAACUACAGUGAUUGUUGUCUCUCUUCUGGAUCUAGCCACCCGGAAGGAUAGAGAAAAUAGAAGAUAUCGAGAGGAAAGAGCAAAAAGUUUUGCUUUUUUAUUCUGAGAAAGUAAUGCAUAUUUCUGCUCAUGAAUCAGAAUUUCCAAGUAAUCCAGACAGUGAGCCUCCACUGAGAACAAAGAAGAUCUUCAAAGCCACCAGUCAGCCAAAGAGGUCAUAAGUGAGAACCUCUCAGUGAGAUGCCAGGACUUCUGGAGAGAACUCCUACUAGAAUUCCUCAGAAUCAGCACAGCAAUGUUUUGCCCAGGCCCCCUUCCCUGCCCUGGUAAGACUGGAGUUGCUUCACCCUGGCCAUUAAAUUGGAAAUAAAAUGUCUUUGCGUAGAUGAUACCUGUUAGCCUGAUGGAAGAACUUCUUGUAUUAUGUUUUUUUUUUCUAAUUUAGUUAGAAAAGUACCUUAAUCAGAAUUCAAAGAUGCAUAAGCGUACUGUCUUUAAAAUUGUCACAUUGGUAAGUUAUGUAGAUUUUUAAAAACAUUACUGCCAUUUAUCAAGGCACUUGGAGAGUAUGUCCUUUAGAAUUAUAUUCCAAGUCCUUUCAAAGCUACAUUCAUUCCUUAGCCUAUUCUCAAAACAAAUUGGAGAGGAUAGGCUUACAGCAUAACCUCCUAGAAUAGGCAAAGACACCUACAAAUACUUAUUAAGCUACCUCUUGUCUUUCCAAACUUGCUUACAGUCAGAAAGUCUAACCUAUUUAGAAAGUAAGUCCAUUCAGUUUUAUGUGUGAGAAUGGUAACAGUCUAAUCACUUCCAUUCUUUGGAUACUAAUGACUUUGGGAUAUUUCCAAAACCAGAUGUACUUUCAAAAAAUGGCUAUUUGAAAUUACUUAGUAAUGCCUAGUGAAUUAGCUUUUUCUACUUAAAGGUAGACUUCAGCUCUUCAACAAUACCUACAAAAUCACAUAGGUCUUCUUGGUAUAUGCAAAUUUUUUUGUUCCUUCUUUGUAACUGUACGUAAAGAUGGAUUCUCAAUAUUAAUGGGGAUAUUCACAUCUCUGAAUUACUGGAACCAAUAUUUUUCUAAUUGAUAUAAAGCUAGAUAUUUUCAAAUUUUAUUAGAUGUUAUUGUCAGGUGCUAAGUCAAUUGUGUAAUAUAUUAUUAAACAAUGUAAAGAAGUUUCUCAACAUGUUACCUAUUUCAAUAAAAAUAAUUUUUGCAACAGCAUAUGGUUUUGAAUUAAAAAUAGAAAAUAA